rnacentral:rRNA from 1 species
AACAAACGCUGGCGGCGUGCCUAAUACAUGCAAGUCGAACGGGGUAGCAAUACCUAGUGGCGCACGGGUGAGUAACGCGUGGAUAAUCUGCCUUAGAGUGGGGGAUAACUAGUCGAAAGAUUAGCUAAUACCGCAUAAGACCACAAGAACUGCGGUUCAAGGGGUCAAAGGUUUUUCGCUCUAAGAUGAGUCCGCGUAAGAUUAGCUAGUUGGUGAGGUAAUGGCUCACCAAGGCGACGAUCUUUAACUGGUCUGAGAGGAUGAUCAGUCACACUGGAACUGAGACACGGUCCAGACUCCAACGGGGGGCAGCAGUAGGGAAUAUUGCACAAUGGAGGAAACUCUGAUGCAGCGACGCCGCGUGAGUGAUGAAGGCCUUCGGGUCGUAAAGCUCUGUCGCAGGGGAAUAACACAAUGAAUGUACCCUGUAAGAAAGGAUCGGCUAACUUCGUGCCAGCCGCCGCAGUAAUAC